GACGAACGCUGGCGGCGUGCUUAACACAUGCAAGUCGAACGGAAAGGCCCCUUUGGGGGUACUCGAGUGGCGAACGGGUGAGUAACACGUGAGUAACCUGCCCUUGACUUCGGGAUAACUUCAGGAAACUGGGGCUAAUACCGGAUAGGAAUCCUUGCUGCAUGGUGGGGGUUGGAAAGCUUCGGCGGUUUUGGAUGGACUCGCGGCUUAUCAGCUUGUUGGUGGGGUAGUGGCUUACCAAGGCUUUGACGGGUAGCCGGCCUGAGAGGGCGACCGGCCACAUUGGGACUGAGAUACGGCCCAGACUCCUACGGGAGGCAGCAGUGGGGAAUAUUGCACAAUGGGCGGAAGCCUGAUGCAGCAACGCCGCGAGCGGGAUGACGGCCUUCGGGUUGUAAACCGCUUUCAGCAGGGGCGAAGCUUGUGGUGACGGUACCUGCAGAAGAAGCACCGGCUAACUACGUG
rnacentral:rRNA from 1 species